rnacentral:rRNA from 1 species
GGCGAACGCUGGCGGCAGGCCUAACACAUGCAAGUCGAACGGACCCUUCGGGGUUAGCGGCGGACGGGUGAGUAACGCGUGGGAACGUGCCCCUUGGUACGGAAUAGCCCCGGGAAACUGGGAGUAAUACCGUAUGAGCUCUACGGAGGAAAGAUUUAUCGCCAAGGGAUCGGCCCGCGUUGGAUUAGGUAGUUGGUGGGGUAAUGGCCUACCAAGCCGACGAUCCAUAGCUGGUUUGAGAGGAUGAUCAGCCACACUGGGACUGAGACACGGCCCAGACUCCUACGGGAGGCAGCAGUGGGGAAUCUUAGACAAUGGGCGCAAGCCUGAUCUAGCCAUGCCGCGUGAGCGAUGAAGGCCUUAGGGUUGUAAAGCUCUUUCAGCGAGGAAGAUAAUGACUGUACUCGCAGAAGAAGCCCCGGCUAACUCCGUGCCAGCAGCCGCAGUAAGAC